AUUGAACGCUGGCGGCAUGCCUUACACAUGCAAGUCGAACGGUAACAGGUCUUCGGUUGCUGUCGAGUGGCGCACGGGUGCGUAAUACAUCGGAACGUGCCCAGACGUUGUGGGUAACGAGGCGAAAGCUUUGCUAAUACCUCAUACGAUCUAAUGAUUAAAGCCGGGGACCGCAAGGCCUUGUGCGUUUGUAGCGGCCGAUGGCAGAUUAGGUAGUUGGUGGGAUAAAAGCUUACCAAGCCGACGAUCUGUAGCUGGUCUGAGAGGACGACCAGCCACACUGGGACUGAGACAUGGCCCAGACUCCUACGGGAGGCAGCAGUGGGGAAUUUUGGACAAUGGGCGAAAGCCUGAUCCAGCAAUGCCGCGUGAAGGAUGAAGGCCUUCGGGUUGUAAAAUGCUUUUGUACGGAAAGAAAAGGCUCUGGCUAAUACCUGGGGAACAUGACGGUACCGUAAGAAUAAGCACCGGCUAACUACGUG
rnacentral:rRNA from 1 species